UGGCACCAUGCAGGUCACCCUGAAGACCCUCCAGCGGCAGACCUUCAAGAUAGACAUCGACCCCGAGGAGAUGGUGAAAGCACUGAAAGAGAAGAUUGAAUCUGAAAAGGGGAAAGAUGCCUUUCCGGUAGCAGGUCAAAAAUUAAUUUAUGCAGGCAAAAUCCUCAAUGAUGAUACUGCUCUCAAAGAAUAUAAAAUUGAUGAGGAAAACUUUGUGGUGGUUAUGGUGACCAAACCCAAAGCAGUGUCAACACCAGCACCAACUACAACUCAGCAGUCAGUUCCUGCCAGCACUUACAGCAGUUACUUCCUCCAUAGUAACAACUGUGGCUCAGGCUCCAACCCCUGCCCCUGCUUUGGCGCCCACUUCAACACCAACGUCCGUCACCCCAGCAUCAGUGACGGCAUCUCCUGAACCUGCACCUGCUAGUGCAACUAAGCAAGAGAAACCUGCAGAAAAGCCAGCAGAGACACCAGUGGCUACGAGCCCAACAUCAACUGACAGUACAUCAGGAGAUUCUUCUCGGUCAAACCUUUUUGAAGAUGCAACAAGUGCACUUGUGACAGGUCAGUCUUAUGAGAAUAUGGUCACUGAGAUCAUGUCAAUGGGCUAUGAACGAGAGCAAGUAAUUGCAGCCCUGAGAGCCAGUUUCAACAGCCCUGACAGAGCAGUGGAGUAUCUUUUAAUGGGAAUCCCUGGAGAUAGAGAAAAUCAGGCCGUGGUUGACCCCCCUCAAGCAGCUAGUACUGGGGCUCCUCAGUCUUCAGCAGUGGCUGCAGCCGCAGCAACUACAACAGCAACGACUACAACAACAAGUUCUGGAGGACAUCGCCUUGAAUUUCUAUGGAAUCAGCCUCAAUUUCAACAGAUGAGACAAAUUAUUCAACAGAAAUCCUUCCCUGCUCCCAGCAUUACUACAGCAGAUAGGUCGAGAGAAUCCUCAGUUACUUCAGCAAAUUAGCCAACACCAGGAGCAUUUUAUUCAGAUGUUAAAUGAACCAGUUCAAGAAGCUGGCAGCCAAGGAGGAGGAGGUGGAGGUGGCAGUGGAGGAAUUGCAGAAGCUGGAAGUGGUCAUAUGAACUCUAUUCAAGUAAUGCCUCAGGAAAAAGAAGCUAUAGAAAGGUUAAAGGCAUUAGGAUUUCCCUGAGGACUUGUGAUCCAAGCAUAUUUUGCUUGUGAGAAGAAUGAAAAUUUGGCUGCCAAUUUUCUUCUACAGCAGAACUUUGAUGAAGAUUGAAAGGGACUUUUUUAUAUCUCACACUUCACACCAGUGCAUUACACUAACUUGUUCACUGGAUUGUCUGGGAUGACUUGGGCUCAUAUCCACAAUACGUGGUAUAAGGUAGUAGAUUGUUGGGGGUGGGGAGGGAGGGAUGUAGGAUAUAGGGCAGGGAUAAAUACAGUGCAUGUCUGCUUCAGUUAGCAGAUGCCGCAACUCCACACAGUGUGUAAAAUAUACAACCAAAAAGCAGCUUUUGCAGGUCUUUAUUUCUUCUGUAAAACAGUAGGUAACUUUUCCUAGGUUUCGUUCUUUUUAGUGUAGAUCCAGAAACUUAGUGUAAUGCCCUGCUUUAUAUUUCUUUGACUUAACAUUGGUUUCAGAAAGAAUCUUAGCUACCUAGAAUUUACAGUCUCUGUUUCAUGGCAACACUGGAUAAUGGCUUUGUGAAAUUUAAAAAAUUUUUGUAGCGACUGUAAACAGAAAUGCCAAAUUAUCGAUGGUUAAUUGUUACUGCUUCAAAAAUAAGUAUAAAAUUAAUGUGUAAGGAAGCCCAUUCUUUCAUGUUAAAUACUUGGGGUGGGAGGGGAGAAAGGGAACCUUUUCUUAAAAUGAAAAUAAUUACUGCUAUUUUAAAAUUUCUUGAUCAUUGAAUGUGAGACCCUUCUAACAUGAUUUGAGAAGCUGUACAAGUAUAGGCAGAGUUAUUUUCCUGUUUACAUUUUUUUGUUUUGUUUUGUUUUGGGGAAAAAUUGAUAGGUGUCUAAUUACUGUUUACUUCAUUGUUACAUUGCAGUAAAAGUUUUAAAACAA